rnacentral:rRNA from 1 species
GCCCCAGUAACGGCGAGUGAAGCGGCAACAGCUCAAAUUUGAAAUCUGGCCCCUCGGGGCCCGAGUUGUAAUUUGUAGAGGAUGCUUCUGGCGAGGCGCCGCCUGAGUUCCCUGGAACGGGACGCCAUAGAGGGUGAGAGCCCCGUCUGGCUGGCCGCCGAGCCUCUGUGAAGCUCCUUCGACGAGUCGAGUAGUUUGGGAAUGCUGCUCAAAACGGGAGGUAUAUGUCUUCUAAAGCUAAAUAUUGGCCAGAGACCGAUAGCGCACAAGUAGAGUGAUCGAAAGAUGAAAAGCACUUUGAAAAGAGGGUUAAACAGUACGUGAAAUUGUUGAAAGGGAAGCGCUUGCGACCAGACUCGGGCGCGGCGGAUCAUCCGGCGUUCUCGCCGGUGCACUCCGCCGUGCUCGGGCCAGCAUCGGUUCGCCUCGGGGGAGAAAGGCGUCGGGAAUGUGGCUCCUCCGGGAGUGUUAUAGCCCGGCGCGGAAUACCCUGGGGCGGACCGAGGACCGCGCGUUCUACGCAAGGAUGCUGGCGUAAUGGUCGCCAGCGACCCGUCUUGAAACACGGACCAAGGAGUCGUCCUCGUAUGCGAGUGUUCGGGUGUCAAACCCCUACGCGUAAUGAAAGUGAACGCAGGUGAGAGCUUCGGCGCAUCAUCGACCGAUCCUGAUGUUCUCGGAUGGAUUUGAGUAAGAGCAUACGGGGCCGGACCCGAAAGAAGGUGAACUAUGCCUGUGUAGGGUGAAGCCAGAGGAAACUCUGGUGGAGGCUCGCAGCGGUUCUGACGUGCAAAUCGAUCGUCAAACAUGGGCAUGGGGGCGAAAGACUAAUCGA